UUCACCUCAAACAUGCAAUAUAUAAAAAUUUACAACUCAAAACUGAAAUCUAAUUGAGCUGUUUCUUUUUGGAUUAAAAGGCUGUUGGAGUUGGAUUUCCACCAAGAGAAGAAAAUAACGUUCCAUUCUUCACGCCUUCUGAAACUCGGCUGCAAAAUUUGAUGAUGCUGCUAUUCAGACUUCUCUUCAAUCAGAUGCAUCUGACUUAGGGCCUGAAGGAGGAGGUGAUUGUUGAUCUUGUUGACCAAUGUCGUUCUUACCAGAAACGGUUCAUGCUUCUGUGGAUGAAGAGCUUUUAGGUCUGGGAUUAGCACUGAAUCACAGCCCUCAGCAUGUAUUUUUGUCAACAUGCACAUGAGGUACUCGUGCACAGAAUCGGAAACCAGCCUAUGACAAGCCCGAGCCAAUGAGGGUGAGCCCACUUAUUCCCCCACCACCAGAAUCAAAGAGGCCAGUCUACUCUGGUAGUGGCAUGGUUGACUAUCUUAGUGGUGGUACGUACUAGGCAAAAGGAUCCCUUGAAAACUCAUGUUAUAAAUAACUAAUUAGUUUAUUAUUUUUAUUAGUUUGUUAUUUUAUUAGUAAUUUAAGUUUGGAUCUUUAGUAAGGCUUGUUAGAUAAUUAUACUCUAUUUAAAUAGAUUAACACUUGUAUAUUCAUCAUGAUAAUAUUAAAUUAUUCAUUUUUUAUAUGCUAUCACAAGCUCUCGUUUGAGAGGGCCUCACU